rnacentral:sRNA from 1 species
UAGGGAAAUUCCAGGACACAAAAAGUGCGAAAGCGAUGAUAUAUGAAUGUUUG